GACGAACGCUGGCGGCGUGCCUAAUACAUGCAAGUUGAGCGAUGAAGAUUGGUGCUUGCACCAAUUUGAAGAGCAGCGAACGGGUGAGUAACGCGUGGGGAAUCUGCCUUUGAGCGGGGGACAACAUUUGGAAACGAAUGCUAAUACCGCAUAACAACCUUAAACAUAAGUUUUAAGUUUGAAAGAUGCAAUUGCAUCACUCAAAGAUGAUCCCGCGUUGUAUUAGCUAGUUGGUGAGGUAAGGGCUCACCAAGGCGAUGAUACAUAGCCGACCUGAGAGGGUGAUCGGCCACAUUGGGACUGAGACACGGCCCAAACUCCUACGGGAGGCAGCAGUAGGGAAUCUUCGGCAAUGGACGAAAGUCUGACCGAGCAACGCCGCGUGAGUGAAGAAGGUUUUCGGAUCGUAAAACUCUGUUGGUAGAGAAGAACGUUGGUGAGAGUGGAAAGCUCAUCAAGUGACGGUAACUACCCAGAAAGGGACGGCUAACUACGUG
rnacentral:rRNA from 1 species